CCCUUAGACGUUCUGGGCCGCACGCGCGCUACACUGACCAGUGCAACAAGCAUCCGUCCUUGGCCGACAGGCCCGGGUAAUCUUUGAACGCUGUUCGUGAUUGGGAUAGACCUUUGCAAUUAUGGGUCUUCAACGAGGAAUUCCUAGUAAACGCAAGUCAUCAGCUUGCAUUGAUUACGUCCCUGCCCUUUGUACACACCGCCCGUCGCACCUACCGAUUGAAUGGUCCGGUGAAAUCUCGGGACGGCGGCUUGGUCGCUUGCGUCCGACUGCUGAAACUUGAUUAAACCAUAUCAUUUAGAGGAAGGUGAAGUCGUAACA
rnacentral:rRNA from 1 species